rnacentral:rRNA from 1 species
CCUACGGGCGGCUGCAGUGGGGAAUAUUGGACAAUGGGGGGAACCCUGAUCCAGCCAUGCCGCGUGUGUGAAGAAGGCCCUCGGGUUGUAAAGCACUUUCAGUGAGGAAGAACGCCUGGUGGUUAAUACCCAUCAGGAAAGACAUCACUCACAGAAGAAGCACCGGCUAACUCCGUGCCAGCAGCCGCGGUAAUACGGAGGGUGCGAGCGUUAAUCGGAAUUACUGGGCGUAAAGCGCGCGUAGGUGGCCUGAUAAGCCGGUUGUGAAAGCCCCGGGCUCAACCUGGGAACGGCAUCCGGAACUGUCAAGCUAGAGUGCAGGAGAGGAAGGUAGAAUUCCCGGUGUAGCGGUGAAAUGCGUAGAGAUCGGGAGGAAUACCAGUGGCGAAGGCGGCCUUCUGGACUGACACUGACACUGAGGUGCGAAAGCGUGGGUAGCAAACAGGAUUAGAUACCCCAGUAGUC